rnacentral:rRNA from 1 species
UACGUAGGGACCAAGCGUUGUUCGGAUUUACUGGGCGUAAAGAGCGCGCAGGCGGUCGUUCAAGUCGCGUGUGAAAGCCCCCGGCUCAACUGGGGAGGGUCACGCGAUACUGAUCGACUCGAAGGCAGGAGAGGGUAGUGGAAUUCCCGGUGUAGUGGUGAAAUGCGCAGAUAUCAGGAGGAACACCGAUGGCGAAGGCAGGUCUCUGGGCAUUAACUGACGCUGAGGAGCGAAAGCAUGGGGAGCGAACAGG